rnacentral:rRNA from 1 species
CGCCUUGCCAGCCCGCUACAGAAACUCAAAUGAAGUUGACGGGGGCCCGCACAAGCGGUGGAGUAUGUGGUUUAAUUCGAUGCAACGCGAAGAACCUUACCUGGUCUUGACAUCCCGGAGACCCUUAGGAAACUAGGGGGUGCUUCCAUCUGGAAGAAUCUGGAGACAGGUGCUGCAUGGCUGUCGUCAGCUCGUGUCGUAAGAUGUUGGGUUAAGUCCCGCAACGAGCGCAACCCUUGUCCUUAGUUACCAGCACGUUAUGGUGGGCACUCUAAGGAGACUGCCGGUGACAAACCGGAGGAAGGUGGGGAUGACGUCAAGUCAUCAUGGCCCUUACGGCCUGGGCUACACACGUGCUACAAUGGUCGGUACAAAGGGUUGCCAAGCCGCGAGGUGGAGCUAAUCCCAUAAAACCGAUCGUAGUCCGGAUCGCAGUCUGCAACUCGACUGCGUGAAGUCGGAAUCGCUAGUAAUCGUGAAUCAGAAUGUCACGGUGAAUACGUUCCCGGGCCUU